GAGUAACUGAUGGGUGCAGGAUGUUCUGU
rnacentral:piRNA from 1 species